rnacentral:rRNA from 1 species
GCGUGGAGGAAGAAGGCUUUCGGGUCGUAAACUCCUGUCAGGUGGGAGGAAAAGGUGUUGGUGAAUAGCCUUCACCCUUGACAGUACCACCAGAGGAAGCCCCGGCUAACUCCGUGCCAGCAGCCGCGGUAAUACGGAGGGGGCUAGCGUUAUUCGGAAUUACUGGGCGUAAAGGGCGCGUAGGCGGCGACGCAAGUCAAAGGUGAAAUCCCUCGGCUCAACCGAGGAACUGCCUUUGAAACUGCGUCACUUGAGGCCGGGAGGGGGUAGCGGAAUUCCCAGUGUAGCGGUGAAAUGCGU